rnacentral:misc_RNA from 2 species
AACGCACAUUGCGCCCGCUAGUAUUCUGGCGGGCAUGCCUGUUCGAGCGUCAUUUCAACCAUCAAGCCCCAGGCUUGUGUUGGGGACCUGCGGCUGCCGCAGCCCCCUAAAAGCAGUGGCGGUCUCGCUGUCAUACCGAGCGCAGUAGUUUAUCUUCGCUUUGGGCGUGGUGGCGAGUGCCGGCCGUGAAACACUUUUCUAAGGUUGACCUCGGAUCAGGUAGGAAUACCCGCUGAACUUAA